UAAUUAUUGUUAUUGUUUCAGUAAAAUAUUGUAGUUAUUGGUAUUUGUAAUGUGCUAUCUAUAUCAAAAAAUAAUUUUUAGCAAGAGCUCUUUUUGUCUUACCAAGUGUUGUAGACUCUUGGAUUUUUUUUUUUUUUAUUAGCGUUCUUCUAAAAAACAACAUACACUGAUUUGCCACGUGAUCUGCUCAUCGAUCUUCCACAAAUAUAGAGAACAAUGUCAUGAAUUUUACUGGACUCUUUCAAUUCUCUUCCCAAAUCCUCUUUUUCCUGAGUCUUUAUUCAUAUCAACUUUUAUUUUCAUUAUAAUCUCCAUUUGCAUCUUUUAUAAUGGUAAUGUUUCUAAAGUAGAGAAACAAAAUGGAUCAGAUACACUUUUGUCAAAUUGGUUGAAUUUCCCCCCCCCCCCACUCAUACUUGUUUUUACAAAGUUGUUUGCCAUAAACUUUAAGCUACUGUUGCUAAGAUGUGUGACACGUUUGAUACAGCCAUGAAAUAAAUCUUAAUUUGGUACCUGCUAGGGUUGCACGGUGUACCGGUACUACGGUAGUAUCGCGAUACUAAAGCUUCAAAAUACUGGCGAUGCCAUUGUAUUUUUUAAACGGUAGUAUCGUCAGUACCGUAAGGAAUGUUGUAUGUGCGGCAGGUACACUUCAAUUGAACAUGCGUGCCUGCAAAAACAUUACAAGAGACUGCCGUUGACUGUCUGCUGUGCCCUGUGUAGUAAAUGCUCUGUAGAAUUAGCGCCUUAUUGUUUUCUGAUGCUUCAGUUAAUUUUGCAAUGAGAUAAAGUUGCACUUGCACGUUGUUAUUCGCAGUGCAUUUUAUCUGAAGAAAGGGUCUGAAAUUCACUUAAUUAACAUCAUAAACACGAUUCAGACAAAUGCAAUUCCAUUCAUCAGUAAGUUAUAGCGGGUUUGCACUCGGUUCUUAUCAAUCAUAUCAAUCGUGAUUUUAUAAUUAUAAAUGUAUUAUAUGUUUUAAUAUACAUACUGCUCUCCAGUCAGGGUUAGAUAUUUCAAGAUAGGCUGGCAAAAAUGCUCCUGAUAGUUCGUGACACGAGCAAGAGCGCUGUUUUUGUUUCGUUUCUAAAUGAAUCUGUUUAUGAACAAAUUGUGUGAGUCACUGACUCACUAAUCCAUUCAUUAAGACAGUCAUUUGCUUCGUUCCUGAAUGAAUCAGCCGUUUUGAACGAAUCGGUUGAAUGAUUCAUUGACUUAAUCAUUAACACUUGCUGCCACCUACUGGCGACUUUAGUCUCCCAUCUAAACGUAGGUCUAUUCUAUCAUUUUUUUCCACCAACAUUUUUAUUUCUAUAUUCAAAUUUUUAUAUUUGAAACAUUAAUAUCAUAACAUUAUUUAUGCAAUUGUAAUUGAAGUGUAAAUGCAUAAAUGCUACAUCGUAAUGUCAGUUCAUACAGCUUCUGUGCAGUGCUAAGAUGAAUUUUGUUUACAUUGAUUCAUUUGAAUGGUAAUAAAAGCCUGUUAUUCAUUCUCAUUAAUGAAGUAUUCAGAGAAAAAUCUGGUCUGUUUUCAUGUUUUUAUGAAAGUUUGGUUCAUUUUGUAUACUGCAUGGUAUCGCGAUACUACUUGGUAUCGUGAUACUUCAGCUGGUAUAGUAUCGUAAGACAUUUUUAUGGUAUCGUGACAACCCUAGUACCUGCAUUCUGUCUGACACGCACCUCCCCGUUUGUGCUCUCUCCGAGACGGAGCAGAACGCCCAGCAAAACAUACUUUGAGCUUAACUCG